GAUGAACGCUGGCGGCGUGCCUAAUACAUGCAAGUCGAGCGAACAGACGAGGAGCUUGCUCCUCUGACGUUAGCGGCGGACGGGUGAGUAACACGUGGAUAACCUACCUAUAAGACUGGGAUAACUUCGGGGAACCGGAGCUAAUACCGGAUAAUAUAUUGAACCGCAUGGUUCAAUAGUGAAAAACGGUUUUGCUGUCACUUAUAGAUGGAUCCGCGCCGCAUUAGCUAGUUGGUAAGGUAACGGCUUACCAAGGCAACGAUGCGUAGCCGACCUGAGAGGGUGAUCGGCCACACUGGAACUGAGACACGGUCCAGACUCCUACGGGAGGCAGCAGUAGGGAAUCUUCCGCAAUGGGCGAAAGCUUGACGGAGCAACGCCGCGUGAGUGAUGAAGGUCUUCGGAUCGUAAAACUCUGUUAUUAGGGAAGAACAAAUGUGUAAGUAACUAUGCACGUCUUGACGGUACCUAAUCAGAAAGCCACGGCUAACUACGUG
rnacentral:rRNA from 1 species